ACUGCGCAUGAGCAGGAAUAGUCACGGACUGUACAGAUGGUGUGGUAAAGGACCAAGAAAGUGGUUGUCGGAGGAAGUUGUGACUGAUUUUGGAAACACCAGGCAGACCUCGCCAGUAUAGGAAUUCAGGACUUAACAUCAGAGCAGGGGGUGAAGGGGAGAGGGUUCACUCAGAGCGGCAGUGAGACAGGGCUGGUGGUCUGCGGGCGGAAUGACCCGGGAGAGUGUGGGCUUUGUAAAGACGCGAAUGUACAGACUCUGCCUUUUUAGGCCACUGCCCUCUCUCCACAAGUCAGACAUGACUAAGUUCCAGGGAUUGGUGUCAUUCGAGGAUGUGGCUGUAGACUUCACCCAGGAGGAGUGGAAUCAUCUGGACCAUACUCAGAGGACCCUGUACAGAGGUGUAGUGCUAGAGAACUGUAGCUACUUGGUCUCUGGGUGAGGCUGGCUUCCCUGAGUAAUUUACAGUGUACCUAACAGAAUAACUUGCCAUCUCUGAAGUAUUUCAAUACUUUGGCCUCAAGUUCCAGGGACUAAAGAUUCUUAAUUCUUCUUAGACUAACAAGGUGUUUGCAUUUCCAUCUCCCAUGUGAAAUUUAUGCUUAUUAAAGUGUACCUUCCUAAUUACUUUGAGGCCCUGAAGGCCACACACAUGUCCCCAGGUCUUGUAUCCUUUCCCAUUACAGGGUAUCCUGUUCCAAACCAGAUGCGAUUGCCUCUUUGGAGAAGAGAAGACUUUGGAUCAUAGAGAGAGAAAUCUCAAGUUCAAGCU
rnacentral:lncRNA from 1 species